AGAGUUUGAUCAUGGCUCAGAACGAACGCUGGCGGCGUGCCUAACACAUGCAAGUCGCACGCAGUUAAGGGGGCAACUCCUUGAUUGAGUGGCGCACGGGUGCGUAACGCGUAUAGAACCUACCUUUUACAGAGGGAUAGCCCAGAGAAAUUUGGAUUAAUACCUCAUAAUAUUGUUGAAUGGCAUCAUUUGACAAUUAAAGUUUCGGCGGUAAAAGAUGGCUAUGCGUCCUAUUAGUUAGUUGGUGAGGUAACGGCUCACCAAGACAUCGAUAGGUAGGGGUCCUGAGAGGGAGAUCCCCCCACACUGGUACUGAGGACACGGACCAGACUCCUACGGGAGGCAGCAGUGAGGAAUAUUGGACAAUGGGCGCAAAGCCUGAUCCAGCCAUGCCGCGUGCAGGAAGACGGCCCCAUGGUUGAAACUGCUUUUAUACAGGAAGAAACACUCCCUCGUGAGGGAACUUGACGGUACUGUAUGAAUAAGCACCGGCUAACUCCGUGCCAGCAGCC
rnacentral:rRNA from 1 species